rnacentral:rRNA from 1 species
AAUCAACGCUGGCGGCGUGCCUCAGACAUGCAAGUCGAACGCGAAAUUUCCCUUCGGGAGAAAGUAGAGUGGCGCACGGGUGAGUAACACGUGGAUAAUUUACCUCCGGGUGGGAAUAACAACCGGAAACGGUUAGCUAAUACCGCAUAAUGCAGCGGCAUCUAUGAUGACAGUUGUUAAAGCGGGGAGUCGCAAGACCUCACGCCUGAAGAGAAGUCCGCGGC